rnacentral:rRNA from 1 species
AUUGAACGCUGGCGGCAGGCCUAACACAUGCAAGUCGAACGAGUGGCGGACGGGUGCGUAAUGUCUGGGAAACUGCCUGAUGGAGGGGGAUAACUACUGGAAACGGUAGCUAAUACCGCAUCACAUCGGAUGUGCCCAGAUGGGAUUAGCUAGUUGGUGGGGUAACGGCUCACCAAGGCGACGAUCCCUAGCUGGUCUGAGAGGAUGAACAGCCACACUGGAACGGAGACACGGGCCAUACUCCUACGGGAGGCAGCAGUGGGGAAUAUUGGACAAUGGGCGGAAGCCUGAUGCAGCCAUGCCGGGUGUAUGAAGAAGGCCUUCGGGUUGUAAAGUACUUUCAGCGGGGAGGCGUUACCCGCAGAAGAAGCACCGGCUAACUCCGUGCCAGCAGCCGCGGUAAUAC